rnacentral:ncRNA from 1 species
CGAGCGACGGGAGGCGAUGAAGCGCGGUCAAGAUCCCGGUCGCCGUGACCGCGUGGAGCCAGUGGCGAGCCCGACCCACCGCGUC